rnacentral:lncRNA from 1 species
GAGAAAAAUGGAGCUGUUUCAGGGUAGACGAGAUGGCCCUACUCCUGAGCCACAGGAGAAAAAUCUGCUAAUAAUCCCUAGAGCUGUUAGAGGAGAUUUUAACACCAUGAAAGAGAAAGAGUUGGUGGUUCUCUAAUUAAGGAUGCAGUCAGAAACUUUAUUAUUAUUAUUAUUAUUAUUAUUAUUAUUACAUUUGCUCAAUGUUUAUCCUCACCAGCCUAAAGAAACACAGGUAUAGCAAGCGAAAAAUAUUAAACUCACAGUAAACACCAAUACUAUGGCAAGGACUCUGUAUAAGCCUGAAGCACUCUGCCAAAUCUAAAGGCCCAGUGGCCCUGUAUUGCUGCUGUAACAGAUUAUCACAGACAGUGGCUCAGAACAACAUGAAUUUAUUAUCCUGAGGUCAGAGGUCCUAAAGUUGAUGUCUUGGCAGAGUUGUCUUCCUUCUGGAGGCUCUAGGGGAGAAUCUGUUUUCUUGCCUUUUCCAGCAUCCCCAGGCUGUCUGCAUACCUGGGCCCAUGGUCAGCAGCAUACCACGGCCUCUUUCCUCUUUUCCAGCAUACCUCUUUCCUCUCUGGCCUCUGCUUCUGUCUUUACGUCUUCUCUCUUUUACUAUGAUCUUCCUGACUCCCUCUUUCAAGGACCCUUGNNNNNNNNNNNNNNNNNNNNNNNNNNNNNNNNNNNNNNNNNNNNNNNNNNNNNNNUUAACCUUAAUUAACCAUAUCUGCAAAAUCCUUUUUAUCACAUAUGGUAAUAAAUCCUCAGAUUCCAGGAAUUAGGACAUGAACAUCUUUGGGGGGGAUCAGUCAGCCUACCACAAGCCUCUUGAAAUUUCCCACUAGAUUCUCUCUGCUCUGAGCCAUCGCAGACCAAAGAGCAUCCAGGCAGAGCUGCCUCCUGCUCCUUGUGCCUGGUCCACAGAGCUGGGCUUCAGGGCCACACGAGAGCAGCACCCAGACCCGCUCUUUGCCAGCAGGACUCCCAUAUGCUUCUUGCACGUUUUAGAGUUUACAGAGAAGUUUUCCAUUCUCUCUUUCUCUCUUCUGUGAUCAAUUGCAUGAGGCAAGAGGAGAGAUGCUAUUCAACUCCUUUUACAGACAAGAUACAGAAGGGUUCACCAAUGAGCUUAAGGCCACACAUUCAGAAAGCAGUCAAGUGGAGCUCAGAUGCCUGCCUCUCUGCUCCAAGUCAGCCUACAUUUUGCUGCCUGAAUGAUACCCUGGAUGAAGGUGGACAGAAAGUGUCAUCUUCAGUAAGGACCACACAGUGGAAAACUUUACAGCUAUUUCACUUCAUUCCUCUUGACCCAUGA